AAUCUGACGUGUCCUCCAAACCAUUUACCAGCCUAGCCGAGUCUAGUUCCACGAAUCGAACAUCGAAGUGAAGAAGAUAUACACAUCAACAUAUCGAUAGAGAUAGAUACAACCCACAUAUCUCUUUCGCUUGUGUAUAGAGAGUGACAGAAGAUCGAAAUGGCAGAAGCUAAGGUGGAAACUAUCUCAAGGCUAGUUCAAUGGAAGAUCGAAACUUUUGGACCUUGCACUUUCAAAAAAUCCGAUCCCUUCAAAAUGGGCCCUUGGACUUGGAAUUUAUCAGUUGAGAAGAAUAGGCACAUGUAUAUUCGUUUGUUUCCUGAGCCUACAAGAAUUGCCAAAGAGCAGCCUCCAAUUGCACGGUUCAUUCUCCGGGUUACGACGAAUAACGGCCUUAAUCGGAGGCCCUAUAUUUCCCCAAUUCAUGAGAGACUGCUUCGAACUAGCGAAGACUUUGUAUGGCCAGUUGAUUCUUCUUUUUAUGGCCGUUUCAUGAUUGAUGUUGAGUUUUUGGAUCUGAAGGUCUGCCCAACAAAUGGCGGAGAAGCCACCUCCAUAUGGCCCUGUGGUGGCCAAACGCUAUCUCUAGCAACCCAAAGCACUCUUCGAUGCCUUUCUCGCAUGCUUAAUGAGUCUAUCUAUGCUGAUGUUACUAUCAAAACAAAUGAUGGCACCCUGUGGGCUCACAAGGCAAUUCUCUCUGCAAGUUCUCCAGUGUUCCAUAGCAUGUUUUUGGAAAAUCCCGAGGAAGAGUCCUCCACAGUCAAUAUAGAGGACAUGGCAGUCGAUUCCUGCACUGCUCUUCUCAGCUACUUGUAUGGAACUAUCAAUCAAGAGGAUUUUUGGAAGCACCGAUUAUCUUUGCUUGGUGCGGCCAACAAGUAUGAUAUUAUAGAUUUAAAAGAUCUAUGUGAAGAAAGCCUCAUGGAAGACAUUAAUUGCGGGAAUGUGCUCGAGAGGCUACAAGAGGCUUGUCUUUACAAACUUGACAAGCUAAAGAAAGGGUGUAUGACGUACUUGUUUGAUUUUGGAAAGAUUUAUGAUGUUAGAGAUGAACUUGGUGUCUUCUUCAAGCAUGCAGAACGAGAGCUAAUGGUGGAUAUGUUUCAAGAGGUGCUUGCGGCCUGGAAACUAGCUUAAGUUUUUACCUGGCUAUUCUCAGCCAUGUAGUUUACACAGGGACAUCUGUGGAAAUCUGUACAGGCACUAGAAUUACCUUGUACAAGGCGAACAUAUGAGGUGCUUCUGGUCUGGGUAGGUGCUUCUGGUCUUGUUUUUCAUAGCCUAAGAGGAUGUGGUUCUUUUUAUUGAAUUGAUCAUCAGCUGUUCGUCCACCCUGGGCAGGCAAAGUGGAUUUGGAGUUUAGACAAAGGGAUAAGUUGGUAUAAUAUUUUUUAUUUAAUACAUUAAUACAAGUUUACAAUUUAUUACCUUGUGUACAUUAUAAUUCUCAAAAUUAGAAUGACUGUCAUUCUAGUUUGUUAAUAGCAAGAUUCCAAGGUUUUUUUUUUCAA